rnacentral:rRNA from 1 species
UACAAUGGGUAGCCAAGCCGCGAGGCGGAGCCAAUCCUGAAAGCAGGCCUCAGUUCAGAUUGCAGUCUGCAACUCGACUGCAUGAAGCCGGAGUUGCUAGUAACCGCAGGUCAGCAAUACUGCGGUGAAUACGUUCCCGGGUCUU